CCUACGGGCGGCAGCAGUGGGGAAUAUUGCACAAUGGGCGCAAGCCUGAUGCAGCCAUGCCGCGUGUGUGAAGAAGGCCUUCGGGUUGUAAAGCACUUUCAGCGGGGAGGAAGGCGUUAAGGUUAAUAACCUUGGCGAUUGACGUUACCCGCAGAAGAAGCACCGGCUAACUCCGUGCCAGCAGCCGCGGUAAUACGGAGGGUGCAAGCGUUAAUCGGAAUUACUGGGCGUAAAGCGCACGCAGGCGGUCUGUCAAGUCGGAUGUGAAAUCCCCGGGCUCAACCUGGGAACUGCAUUCGAAACUGGCAGGCUAGAGUCUUGUAGAGGGGGGUAGAAUUCCAGGUGUAGCGGUGAAAUGCGUAGGGAUCUGGAGGAAUACCGGUGGCGAAGGCGGCCCCCUGGACAAAGACUGACGCUCAGGUGCGAAAGCGUGGGGAGCAAACAGGAUUAGAUACCCGGGUAGUC
rnacentral:rRNA from 1 species